ensembl:lncRNA
GCCAAGUCAAGUCUUUUGGAUUAUGUUUUGUCUUUGCAUAAAUAAACUGCACUUGGGUUCUCACUUCAACUCGCUUUCAGUGGGCCAUUCGUUACAGAAAGCUAGACCAACCAUGAACUUAGCAGUUGCCCUCCUUGGACUACCUCAAGGUAACCGAUCCAUAGAGGAUUAUGUUGAGGAAUUUUGUGAACUGUGCUACCAGGUGGACUUUAAUGACAUUGCCCUCAAAGACAUUUUUCCGUAUGGAUUAACUGGAGACAUUUCACGUUUAUUGCCACUUCAGACCCCUAACUGGACUCUACACAUUAACUUUGUUUUGAGGAUGAGUGACUCUGCUUUUACUGUGGGGAACCCUGCUAUUCCCCAGUAUCUCCCGCACCAGAGCAUUUUCAUGUCCCAACUGUCAUGCCUGGAGUUGUUCAUGUCAUGCCUGCUACUCCAGGGUCUGCUAAUAUCACACAUGCUACUCCAGGGCCUGCUAACGUCAUGCCUGCUCACAUCAUGUCUGCUAGUCCAGGGCCUGCUAACAUCAUGCCUGCUACUCCAGGGACUGCUCAUGUCAUGGCUGCUACUCCAGAGCCUCCUCACGUCAUGCAUGCCAAGCCAAAGCCAGCUACUCCAGGGCCUGCUCACGUCAUGCCUGCUACUCCAGGACCAGCUCACGUCAUGCCUGCCAAGCCAAAGCCAGCUACUCCAGAGCCUGCUCACGUCAUGCAUGCCAAGCCAAAGCCAGCUACUCCAGAGCCUGCUCACAUCAUGCCUGCUACUCCAUGGCCAGUUCACAUCAUGCCUGCCAAGCCAAAGCCAACUACUCCAGGGCCUGCUAACGACAUGUCUGCUGCUCUAGGGCCUGGUCAUCCUGCAGAUGCGGAUCUUGGGUCAGGACAGAAAGGACUGAUUGCCAGUGUGAUGGGCCCACCUCUGUUGUCAGUGAGAGCACCUGGCAUCCCCAGCGCCUCAGCACUGGCUAUCACAGAGAACGUUCCCUUAUCCUCAGUGCUUCCCGUUAUGGCAGUAGCCAUCCUGUGUGUUUGGGCUACUUACUGUUCUGUUACCCAAGUCCACGAGUCUGUCCCAGAGGCCUCUCCUGUCCAUGAGUCUGCCCCAGAGGCCUCUCAUUUCCAUGGAUCAGCUCCAAUGCCUCCAGAGGUGGGGGUGUCCGGUGCAGAACCUCUAGAGGUGGCGCUUUCCACUGCAGAACCUCCGAAGGUGGUGGUGCCCACUC